rnacentral:rRNA from 1 species
UACGGAGGGUGCAAGCGUUAAUCGGAAUUACUGGGCGUAAAGCGCGCGUAGGCGGCUCGGUCAGUCGGGUGUGAAAUCCCUGGGCUCAACCUGGGAAUUGCAUUCGAUACUGCCGAGCUAGAGUGUGGGAGAGGGUAGUGGAAUUCCCGGUGUAGCGGUGAAAUGCGUAGAUAUCGGGAGGAACAUCAGUGGCGAAGGCGACUGCCUGGCCCAACACUGACGCUGAGGUGCGAAAGCGUGGGUAGCAAACAGG